CGCCCUCCGUCGCCGGAGGCGGCCAAUCAGAAGCCUCGUCCCCCUUCCGAACGCCCCGAUCCCGGAACUGGCGCUGCCUGGGCGCGGGUCGGCGGCUGAGAGCUAUCUCUGCAGCGCUGGAAGGGUGUUCGAGUGCGCUGGCGCUCCAGGGUUAAGUCCGUGGCUCUGGAGCCGUGAAUCUGAAUCCGAGCCUCGGUUCCUCCGCUCACUAGCCGUGUGACCAUGGGUAAGGUGCCCAUCCGCAGUUUGUCUUUCUGCAAGAUGAAGAUGAUUUCUUAGGUGUUGUUGCGGGCUGAUGUGAGACAACCGCACGUAAAAGAGGGCGCACUAGGUGUAGCUUUCAUUAUUUACGAGAGAAAAGGCGCUUCCCAGGUGCCAAGUCCACCGCCUAGCCCUGUUAGUGCUCAGUGGAUGUUGGAUGGAUGGAGAGAUUUUAAAAAUUGUGAAUACCGGGCAUUUAAUAAAUGUUUUCUGAAUUGCAA